AUGGAGGCUGAAGGCACCAGGCUAGACUCAGAGACCCGGGCGUCAGUCAGCAGCGGCGGCGGCGGCAACCCAGUGCUCAAUAAACCAAUUGAUGAUGCGGUCAAGGGUUCCGGUGGAUCGGCGAGCGAGAGCACAUGGAGCGCUGAUACUGCCAUCGAAGCUAGGUCAGUAGCCCAUGGGUUGCCGGAGUUCCAGGAAGACUAUUAUGUUCCAAGCGUUCACAGCCCUAGGCACCACUGA
rnacentral:rRNA from 1 species